GUCCUUGUCGAUUAGGGGUUAAAUCAUCUCGUUGUGGUUCAUUGCUCCGAGAAGCCGGAAGUUCGAAUCCUCCCUGGGACA
rnacentral:tRNA from 1 species